CGACAAGAUAGUACAAAAAUAGGAGAGCAAUAUAACGUGCUGAAAUUAAACGUUGUUUUAGUUUUAAAAGCAAAGUUUCCAAAGUCUUAUAACAUUUUACAAUACGGUGACGUAAUUCAUCAAUCAUUGGUUUGACACGAGCAAAAUGGUAAAUAAAGCUAGAUGAACUGAAACCGAGAGGAACUGACACCCUCCCGGUGAGAGUAUAAAAGCAGAGCUGCAGCAGACUGGGACUUCAUUUGCGUCGAGACAGUGCUGAGAGAAUGUUGUUGAAGUGAGAGCGAAAUACUUUCAAGUUUCUUUCAGUUUCUGAGCUCAAAUAGUUGAUUUUAUGAUUCUAUAGUGUAAUUAAUUUGAUAGUUUAGUGGUUUUAUUAAUGAUCGUGGUCCAGUUUGUGUUUUAAGACAAGAUUUUUUAAGCCUUGGGACUCAAGGAUUGAUGAACAACUAAACAAACAAUUGUGGAAAUACAUGUGAAAAAUUAUGGAGAUGCCACCAGCUAUUCGAUGCAUUAGAGAGCAGCUCUACUACCAGAGUGGAGAUGUGGAUCACUGGAUGUGGUAUGAGAUAUCU